UAGAGUUUGAUCAUGGCUCAGAACGAACGCUGGCGGCAUGCCUAACACAUGCAAGUCGAACGAAGCCUUCGGGCUUAGUGGCGCACGGGUGCGUAACGCGUGGGAACCUGCCUUUAGGUUCGGAAUAACAGUGAGAAAUCGCUGCUAAUACCGGAUAAUGUCUUCGGACCAAAGAUUUAUCGCCUUUAGAUGGGCCCGCGUUAGAUUAGAUAGUUGGUGGGGUAAUGGCCUACCAAGUCGACGAUCUAUAGCUGGUCUGAGAGGAUGAUCAGCCACACUGGGACUGAGACACGGCCCAGACUCCUACGGGAGGCAGCAGUGGGGAAUAUUGGACAAUGGGCGAAAGCCUGAUCCAGCAAUGCCGCGUGAGUGAUGAAGGCCUUAGGGUUGUAAAGCUCUUUUACUAGGGAUGAUAAUGACAGUACCUAGAGAAUAAGCUCCGGCUAACUCCGUGCCAGCAGCCGCGGUAAUACGGAGGGAGCUAGCGUUGUUCGGAAUUACUGGGCGUAAAGCGCGCGUAGGCGGCUUUUCAAGUCAGGGGUGAAAUCCCGGAGCUCAACUCCGGAACUGCCCUUGAAACUGGAUGGCUAGAAUAUUGGAGAGGUAAGUGGAAUUCCGAGUGUAGAGGUGAAAUUCGUAGAUAUUC
rnacentral:rRNA from 1 species